rnacentral:misc_RNA from 1 species
UCUCCGUUGGUGAACCAGCGGAGGGAUCAUUACCGAGUUUUCCAACUCCCAAACCCUUCUGUGAACCUAUACCGACACGUUGCUUCGUCGGGAUCGCCCCGGCGCCCUCAGCGGCGGCCGGGCCCAGGCGCCCGCCGGACGACCACACCAAACUCUUCAGAUUUUCUUCAGGCGUCUUUUGAGUUACACAAAAAAAAUGAAUCAAAACUUUCAACAACGGAUCUCUUGGUUCUG